GCCACUUUAUAUAAACCCUGCCCUGAUUCAGGAUCCUAGCUGGGAGCGACUCCCUUCCAGGGUCCCCUGACUCAAAAGCAAGGAAAUGGGAAAGGCGAAAGUCCUAGAACAAAGCCAUCUUUUGCGUCUCAACACCGAGAACAGAAGCGUGGGGGGCCGACAGCGAAGGGCCUAACGUCCAAGCACUCACCUGCGCGGGGUCCCGCAGCGCCGCCGCCGCCAUCGGAGUCUGUGGCUCAGCCGGCAGAGAGAAGAAAAGCAGCUGGACAUUGGAGACUGUGGUUGGAUGUUGGAGAGAAGCAGCCUGACUUCAAAGGGACAGCUUGACAGCGUAGCUUUGGAAAGGAUGGCCAGGGAUGGCCAAACUUCAGGGGAUGAUUACCUUCCUGCUCCAUCCCCUUUUCAGCUCCUCUUCCUGCUGAGAGCCACUUUCACUGGCAAUAAAA
rnacentral:lncRNA from 1 species